CCUACGGGCGGCAGCAGUGGGGAAUAUUGGACAAUGGGGGGAACCCUGAUCCAGCCAUGCCGCGUGUGUGAAGAAGGCCCUCGGGUUGUAAAGCACUUUCAGUGAGGAAGAACGCCUGGUGGUUAAUACCCAUCAGGAAAGACAUCACUCACAGAAGAAGCACCGGCUAACUCCGUGCCAGCAGCCGCGGUAAUACGGAGGGUGCGAGCGUUAAUCGGAAUUACUGGGCGUAAAGCGCGCGUAGGUGGCUUGAUAAGCCGGUUGUGAAAGCCCCGGGCUCAACCUGGGAACGGCAUCCGGAACUGUCAAGCUAGAGUGCAGGAGAGGAGGGUAGAAUUCCCGGUGUAGCGGUGAAAUGCGUAGAGAUCGGGAGGAAUACCAGUGGCGAAGGCGGCCUUCUGGACUGACACUGACACUGAGGUGCGAAAGCGUGGGUAGCAAACAGGAUUAGAUACCCUAGUAGUC
rnacentral:rRNA from 1 species